UCUCCUCCUCCUCCCGGUGACAACAGGUCCUCUGAUCCAGCGUUGAGCGGUGGUCUCUCCUCACUGACACGUUGACGCGUCUCCGCAGGACACUUUGGACACUUUGGAUUUUCAUUAACGGCCCGAGAAACGUUUGUACUUUUUAAAGAAGUUCGCCAGGAGACUUCCCCAAAACUUUUUGGGAGGAGAGAGAGAAUGCUUCUGCUAGGACACCAGCCGCCAGUCCAGUAAAACCAUGGAGUUGUACCCGGGCAGCGGGCGGUGGCGGUGGAGGAUCCAUCACGUCCUCCCAGUGGCCCUGCUGUGGAUCAGCCUGCACAGCCAAGGUAGGACCCCGCCCACCGGCCCCCGGCCGCCGGCCCCAGGCGGAGCACUUUGAUUAGAACCAGAGGAGAUGGAAAGCAUCACGACAAAUGUACUUUAUUUUAGAGUAAAGGGACGUUAGAAAACUCCCACGGCUGAAAAUAUUACAAUAAGAGUGGGAGAAGCCCUUCAAAGCUGUCAACUGUUCUUGGUUUAAGUCUUUGAGAGGAGGAGAACUCGCUGCUCAAGCCCUGGAGUUGUGAAUGAUGGUCUUUGCUUCAGUAGACUAAAUCUGAGAGCUGUAUGCCGUCUAGAAAUAAAAUCCUUAAAAGAAGGCUUCUCUUUACAUUUUCGAAAGAAGAAGGAAAGUGCAUAUACAUUUCCUAGAAUAAUAAAUAAAUAAGUUGAUAAUAAUAUGAAUUACUGUAGUAUUAAUCUAGUCAAUGUCUAAUUAAUAUCACCACUAUAUAAACAUAAUAACCACCUUCUUCAAGUAUAAAAUGAAUAAUUCUAUGCAUCAAUGAAUUACAUUUGAUAUAUUCCAGGGGUACAAUAGGGCAGAGUGAUCUUGAAAGAUAAGACAUUGUCUCCUAUCUUUCAGCAGACGGGGUUUUUUACUUUAUUGCUCACAGUUUGUAAAGAACAGUGAGUUUUGAAAAACCAAAGCAUAUUUCAUCAUUGUCGAUGCCCGGGCCGCAGUAGAAUAAUAAAAAAUG
rnacentral:lncRNA from 1 species